rnacentral:lncRNA from 1 species
AAGUCAGCAGUAUAGGUUGGGGGGGGGGUGAGACAAGAACGAAGCAACGUCAGCAGUAGCUCAGAAUGGCAGCUGGGACAGUAUUAAUCCAGACACCACGCUCGCUACAUCUCUCCAGUCACCACGCCACCACCGACCCCUCGAGUGUACGCAGCCCAGUGUCCGUCUGUGUCUUGUCGUGGGCGUGACGUUCAGCAGCGGCAGGAACAGCAACGGGAACCUUGAUCUGCGUCAGUUUUCGUGCGGCGGGGUGACGUGCCGCUGCUGUGAGGUUAUCGGACCACACCACACCACAGCACAGCACAGCACAGCACAGAGGAAGGAGAGGCGUUGACGAUCCAAAGGCCUGACUCCACAGCGGUAAUGAGCCUCGUCUACCUUGCACUUAACGGACAACGCUCACUACCAACCUCUGCCUCCGCCACCGCCGCUGCCGCCGUUGAGGGAGACUGGCUGGAUGAGUGGGUGAUAGAGGCGAGGCAGGUGUGGUGAGGCGGAGGAUUGGAGACGAGAACCUACAGAUGACGGCAGACACGGAAGAUUCCACUAACCAGGUAGAUGAAUGUGUCAAGAUUGGUUGUGUGGGUGUGAGGAUCGGGUGUGGGGCAAGUUUGAGGGGGUUUGACGUGGUGUGGUUUCCUGAGACUGGCGUGGGAGAUGUGAGAAUGAAGGGAUGGGAGUGUCAGGAUGAAGGGCCAGGAUGCUACGUCACACGGGAGACGCUGGGAGGAGAACGAGGGAGAAGGGUGUAACUGGAGUGUAAGUGGAAUAACGAUCGAGGAGGGCGAGUGAGAGGCUGACUGAGGCAGUGAAGUGUGUAUUGUAGGACAGUGUGGCGUGGUACAUAUGGAGAUAAUCAGUUAAUUUUUCUCCAUUACAGGAGUUGGUGAUCUGAAGCCAUGACUGCAGCGAUCCCAUGCGUCCUGCACCAUCAGGGAAGGACUCUUUGGCUUCGCACUGCGCCUACAUUGACCGUUGCCGCCGCUGCUACCGCUACUCGGAGGGGCACUGCCUCGCAUUGGUCCUUCACUGCCGUCCCGCUAAUACACGUGCCGCCGUCGCCACUACUGGCACUGAGGGACUUCGCCUCGCAGCGGCCUGGCAAACACCUGCUACACCACCACCACUAACUCCACCACCGCAGUCCAGAGAUUCAGCUUCGCAUAGCAGACAUCCUCCUAUUCAACGCUUGCUGCCACUACCACCUCAUUAUGGUGGUGUCACUGUACUUGAAGCUUGGAUCUGUUGUCUCUACUGAAUAAUAAUGUGUAAAGAAA